UUGCCUACGGGCGGCAGCAGUGGGGAAUAUUGGACAAUGGGCGCAAGCCUGAUCCAGCCAUGCCGCGUGAGUGAUGAAGGCCUUAGGGUUGUAAAGCUCUUUCGCCGGUGAAGAUAAUGACGGUAACCGGAGAAGAAGCCCCGGCUAACUUCGUGCCAGCAGCCGCGGUAAUACGAAGGGGGCUAGCGUUGCUCGGAAUCACUGGGCGUAAAGCGCACGUAGGCGGGUCGUUAAGUCAGAGGUGAAAGCCUGGAGCUCAACUCCAGAACUGCCUUUGAUACUGGCGACCUCGAGUUCGAGAGAGGUUGGUGGAACUCCGAGUGUAGAGGUGAAAUUCGUAGAUAUUCGGAAGAACACCAGUGGCGAAGGCGGCCAACUGGCUCGAUACUGACGCUGAGGUGCGAAAGCGUGGGGAGCAAACAGGAUUAGAUACCCCUGUAGUC
rnacentral:rRNA from 1 species